UGCAGACUCGGAAUGGCAAAGAUAUAUCUUAAAUGAUCAGACAUAGAAUGAUAAGGUUGUAUGUCAAAAGGGAAACAGCCCAGAACAAGAGUUAAGGUUCCUAAAUUAUUAGUUAAGUGAAAUUAAGAAAGUUUUUAUUAAAGUCGACAAGGAGAUAGGCUUAGAAGCAGCCAUAAUUUUAUGACCUCGUAACAGAGCGCUUGUUAAGUUAUAAAAGCAUCAAAAAUUUAACGGAUCUAAACAAUAUACCGAAACCUUGUCCAUAAAUAUUUUUAUUAUUAAAAAUAUUAUGGGGUAGCAGAACAUUGAGUUAAACUAUGAAUUUUAUUUCGAAAAUGGAAUGAUUAUAACUCAAGUGAGAAUGGUGACAUGAGUAACGAAAAGAAAUUUGAAAGAAAAUUUCCGCCUAAAGCUUAUGGAUAGAAUUAAGUAACGGCCUCUAAAUUUGUAUUAUCUAAAGAUUCAAAUGAUGAGAAAAUCUUAAUUAUUAAUGACGACAUUUUAGUGAAAAAUGUACAGGAAAAAUAAUAAUAUAUUUGUAUUAAUUAUCUAAAUUAAACAAAUGAAAUAUAACCGUACCUAGAAUCUGAAACAAGUAAGCUAGUAGAGUAUACGAAGGCGUAAAUGAGCUAACAAUCAUAAAGGAACUCGGCAAAUUGACUACCGUACCUUCGGAAUAAGGAGGGCUCAUUAUUCUUGAUUAAUAUCAAGUAAAGAGGAAGAAGCAUGAAAUAAUGUUGUACGACUGUUUAAUUAAAACACAGCACUUUGCUGAAAGAUUAAAAAUCUAUGUAUAAAGUGUGAUAUCUGCCCGGUGCCGGCUGGUUAACAGAGAUAAUUAAAUAUAAUACUAUUUGAUGUUGACGGAAACCCCGGUUAAAGGCGGCCUUAACGUGAGGGUCCUAAGGUAGCGAAAUGCCUUGGCCGUUAAAUGCGGUCUUGCAUGAAUGGUGUAACGAUACAACAGCUGUCUCUAUGAUUGACUCAGUGAAAUUGGAAUAGCUGUGCAGAUA
rnacentral:ncRNA from 1 species